rnacentral:sRNA from 1 species
AUAGCUUCUAAUACAUUAGCCAUACUCAUACUAUAAU